rnacentral:rRNA from 1 species
UACGUAGGGGGCAAGCGUUGUCCGGAAUCAUUGGGCGUAAAGCGCGUGUAGGCGGCUUGGUCAGUCAGCUGUGAAAGUCCAGGGCUCAACCCUGGGAUGCCGGUUGAUACUGCCAAGCUCGAGUCCGGAAGAGGAGUGUGGAAUUCCUGGUGUAGCGGUGAAAUGCGCAGAUAUCAGGAGGAACACCAAUGGCGAAGGCAGCACUCUGGGACGUGACUGACGCUGAGACG